GCACACACUCACAGCGUGCCCUGUAUCUGGCUCAGAAGCCGUCGCUCCGAAGAAGAGCAGCCUUCAGACUACCAAGCAGAGUAAUUCCUCAGAAUUGUCCCACGUUGUCCUAGAGAAGUCGUCUUUAUAGGCAUGGAGUAGGGUGUCUGCAGGCCUCCAGUCAAUUCCAACCGAUUUCAACUGCCAAAGUUAAAAGUUGCCAUUGCAGUUACUGUCGGACCAAAGUAACCCCUGAGAACUCUCCACAUUUGUAAAACGGACUGAAAGGUUCAGUGGCGUUUCCCACCUGGAACAGGACUAGUAAUGCUUUGAACGUGAAGAGAUGACUGUCCCCUGUGAGGAACUGUCGUGGGAAUGAGGCGAUAGGACUGGUUGAAGGAAAUGCUAAGAAGCUCUCUCCUUUGUGGACUGAGGGACCAGCUUCAACACCAGAGGGGUGCAAUCCCAGCAGAAAAGGAACACUGUCUCUAAUGUUGCAACAAAGUAACCAGCAUGAAGUUAGCAAGAAGAAAUCACGGUUGCAGCUGCUGAACACUGAUCCCUACCUGCUUUAAACUUAGAUCCAGAACGGAGCCGGCACAGUGACUUACGUCACUCCCACUGGCUUAAGAGAACAGAGAAUGACAUAUAGACAAGAUGCUACCUCCCAUGGAAAGGCCCCUAUACAUAAAGUCACUUUAUUUCUCUGUCACUUCCCUGAAAAUAAUUUAUGUAAUUAUGCUGUUAAUGAAGUCUAACAAC
rnacentral:lncRNA from 1 species